rnacentral:lncRNA from 1 species
AGAAUUGUUCUUGUUCCAGUUCCGCUUACGUAAGCUCUCCAUUAUACAAAGCUUGUUCCCUUGCUUAUUUACUUGGGUGCACAACUUAUGUAAGAUGGUAACAACCCUUACUCUAUUCUAUAUUAGGUAAGAUGGCUAUCUUCUUCUCUUUCUCUAUUCUAUAUUAGGUAGGAUGAUGGCUAUCUUCUUCUCUUUCUCUAUUCUAUAUUAGUAGGUAGAAUGGCUAUCUUCUUCUCUUUCGCUGUAAUGCGUGAGUUUUGGAAUUAGCAAACGAACAACCCUAGAAACUUGUGUACUACCCUUUAUUGCCGUAAUUGCCCUCUCUCUCCUCUUAUUGUUAUUGCCGUAAUUCCGUUGCUUGUUCAGGCGUUAAAGCAAGGUUAAGAACAGAAUAUCUUACUGACUUUGAAGCGCUAACAGAAGGAGUGGAAAGCGUUAUAUAAGUUAGCGCAAGAACCAGUAGAACUCAAUAAGCGUAGCUCUGAAUACGAGUGAAGUUUGCCUGAAUGCUACGUUAGUGAGAUGAGAGAGCUGUUGAGAAAGCAAUGUAGCUCUGGUAAAUAAUAGGGAUAUUUAGUGUUUCGCAAUUAGGAGUUAACUUGAACUGGCCUACCCGCGAGCGGGCUACUUGGCUUCCCCUUUCCUUUCGUAACUCGCAACAAACAAGAAAUGGACUAGCUUAGGCUUCUUCCCUAGCGCUUGUUGCUAGCCUUACUAAUAUGGAGGAAGAACGUCAACAAACAGCUUAGUUUCCGUCAAAACUCUAUCACUAAGGCACUUUGACUUUGGCGAACUCUACCACUUAUUACUGAACGAACUCAAUUCUACCACUUAUUGCCCUAGUUUGCGCUGUUCCUAAUACGGA